rnacentral:rRNA from 1 species
UGGGGAAUAUUGGACAAUGGGCGAAAGCCUGAUCCAGCCAUGCCGCGUGUGUGAAGAAGGUCUUCGGAUUGUAAAGCACUUUAAGUUGGGAGGAAGGGCAGUAAAUUAACACUUUGCUGUUUUGACGUUACCGACAGAAUAAGCACCGGCUAACUCUGUGCCAGCAGCCGCGGUAAUACAGAGGGUGCAAGCGUUAAUCGGAAUUACUGGGCGUAAAGCGCGCGUAGGUGGUUCGUUAAGUUGGAUGUGAAAUCCCCGGGCUCAACCUGGGAACUGCAUUCAAACUGACGAGCUAGAGUAUGGUAGAGGGUGGUGGAAUUUCCUGUGUAGCGGUGAAAUGCGUAGAUAUAGGAAGGAACACCAGUGGCGAAGGCGACCACCUGGACUGAUACUGACACUGAGGUGCGAAAGCGUGGGGAGCAAAACAGGAUUAGAU